rnacentral:rRNA from 1 species
AUGGUGAAGCCGCGAAUGGCUCAUUACAACAGCCACUGUUUACUUGAUCUUGAUUAUCCUACUUGGAUAACUGUGGUAAUUCUAGAGCUAAUACACGCAAUAAAGCUCCGACCUUACGGGACGAGCGCAUUUAUUAGACCAAAACCAAUCGGGCCUCGGCCUGAACGGUGGUGACUCUGAAUAACUGAGCUGAUCGCAUGGUCUUUGUACCGGCGACGCAUCUUUCAAGUGUCUGCCUUAUCAACUUUCGAUGGUAGUUUAUGUGCCUACCAUGGUUGUUACGGGUAACGGAGAAUAAGGGUUCGACUCCGGAGAGGGAGCCUGAGAAACGGCUACCACAUCCAAGGAAGGCAGCAGGCGCGCAAAUUACCCACUCUCGGCACGAGGAGGUAGUGACGAAAAAUAACGAGGCGGUUCUCUAAGAGGCCCGCUAUCGGAAUGGGUACAAUUUAAA